rnacentral:rRNA from 1 species
UACAGAGGGGGCUAGCGUUGUUCGGAAUUACUGGGCGUAAAGGGCGCGUAGGCGGCCCUCUAAGUCGAACGUGAAAUCCCCGGGCUCAACCCGGGAACUGCGUCCGAUACUGGAGGGCUCGAAUCCGGGAGAGGGAUGUGGAAUUCCAGGUGUAGCGGUGAAAUGCGUAGAUAUCUGGAGGAACACCGGUGGCGAAGGCGGCAUCCUGGACCGGCAUUGACGCUGAGGCGCGAAAGCCAGGGGAGCAAACGGG